GUAAUCUUUGAUUAGCAUUCCUCCCGCUUUGUUCUCGAAUCUUUCGUUCUUGGAUCGAUCUCUCUCUCUUUUCUCGGUUUUGACUUGAGAGUUGAGACUAAAAGUUUGAGAUGCCCUUGUAGCUCACUGACCAUGGAAUUCCACGGGCGCUGAUGCAAAGCGCCAGGGGCGUAAUUCGCGAGUUUUUCAGGCUGCCACAAGAGGAGAAGGAGUCGUACACGGCAUCAUCCACAAAGCUGCGGAGAGAAGGAUAUGGACGGUAUUUCUUACCUUCCAAAGACACCGUGC
rnacentral:lncRNA from 1 species